UACGGAGGGGGCAAGCGUUAUUCGGAAUUACUGGGCGUAAAGCGCGCGCAGGUGGUGUGGCAAGUGGCAGGUGAAAGCCCUGGGCUCAACGCAGGAACUGCCUGCCAAACUGCUGCGCUGGAGGCCGGGAGGGGAGAGCGGAAUUCCUGGUGUAGCGGUGAAAUGCGUAGCGACCAGGAGGAACACCGGUGGCGAAGGCGGGUCGCUGGCCCGGUUCUGACACUCAUGCGCCAAAGCGUGGGGAGCAAACAGG
rnacentral:rRNA from 1 species